GUUCCAAUUCUCAGGUACACGGAUGAAAAUGAGAAUGAUAUAGAAAAGACCAGCAGGGCCUUACACGAAGCUGACAAGAAAAUUUAUCCAGUGGUCCACAUUUUU
rnacentral:snRNA from 1 species